UACGGGGGGGGCAAGCGUUGUUCGGAAUUACUGGGCGUAAAGGGCUCGUAGGCGGCCAACUAAGUCGGACGUGAAAUCCCCAGGCUCAACCUGGGAACUGCGUCCGAUACUGGAUGGCUUGAAUCCGGGAGAGGGAUGCAGAAUUCCAGGUGUAGCGGUGAAAUGCGUAGAUAUCGGGAGGAACAUCAGUGGCGAAGGCGGCUGCCUGGCCCAAUACUGACACUCAGGUGCGACAGCGUGGGGAGCAAACAGG
rnacentral:rRNA from 1 species